CACAGCCUCCUCUACAGUCCUGCGCUCGGUUGGCACCCAGGGCCCUCCUCGGCGGUCAUCCCCCCCCAUCUGCCUGCUUCACUGUUGUACGCCCUUUCCUACUGUCUGGACUGUUCAAGCCACUCCCUCCUAUCGUGCUUGUCUUAUUUGUCAAUAAACGUCCCCUGUUCAAUCUGCAUUUGGGUCAUCCCCCCCCAUCUGCCUGCUUCACUGUUGUACGCCCUUUCCUACUGUCUGGACUGUUCAAGCCACUCCCUCCUAUCGUGCUUGUCUUAUUUGUCAAUAAACGUCCCCUGUUCAAUCUGCAUUUGGGUCCUCUCCCUCAGUAACCCUGACAAAAAACAGAAUGCAAUGAUGUGGAAGUUUCAAAUUUCAAUAUUUUAUUCAGAAUACAACAUAGAUGACAUAUCAAAUGUUUAAACUGAGAAAAUGUAUCAUUUUAAGGGAAAUAUAAGUUGAUUUUAAAUUUCAUGGCAUCAACACAUCUCAAAAAAGUUGGGACAAGGCCAUAUUUACCACUGUGUGGCAUCCCCUCUUCUUUUUAUAACAGUCUGCAAACAUGUGGGGACUGAGGAGACAAGUUGCUCAAGUUUAGGAAUAGUAAUGUUGUCCCAUUCUUACAGGCUUCUAGUUGCUCAACUGUCUUAGGUCUUCUUUGUCGCAUCUUCCUCUUUAUGAUGCGCCAAAUGUUUUCUAUGGGUGAAAGAUCUGGACUGCAGGCUGGCCAUUUCAGUACCCGGAUCCUUCUUCUACGCAGCCAUGAUGUUGUAAUUGAUGCAGUAUGUGGUCUGGCAUUGUCAUGUUGGAAAAUGCAAGGUCUUCCCUGAAAGAGAAUCUGGAUGGGAGCAUAUGUUGUUCUAGAACUUGGAUAUACCUUUCAGCAUUGAUGGUGCUUUUCCAGAUGUGUAAGCUGCCCAUGCCACAUGCACUCAUGCAACCCCAUAGCAUCAGAGAUGCCGGCUUCUGAGCUGAGCGCUCAUAACAACUUGGGUUGUCCUUGUCCUCUUUAGUCCGGAUGACAUGGCGUCCCAGUUUUCCAAAAAGAACUUCAAAUUUUGAUUCGUCUGACCACAAAACAGUUUUCCACUUUGCCACAGUCCAUUUUAAAUGAGCCUUGGCCCAGAGAAAAUGCCUGCGCUUCUGGAUCAUGUUUAGAUAUGGCUUCUUUUUUGACCUAUAGAGUUUUAGCCGGCAACGGCGAAUGGCACGGUGGAUUGUGUUCACCGACAAUGUUUUCUGGAAGUAUUCCUAAGCCCAUGUUGUGAUUUCCAAUAUAGUAGCAUUCCUGUAUGUAAUGCAGUGCUGUCUAAGGACCCGAAGAUCACGGGCAUCCAGUAUGGUUUUCCGGCCUUGACCCUUACGCACAGAGAUUGUUCCAGAUUCUCUAAAUCUUUGGAUGAUAUUAUGCACUGUAGAUGAUGAUAACUUCAAACUCUUUGCAAUUUUUCUCUGAGAAACUCUUUCUGAUAUUGCUCCACUAUUUUUCACCACAGCAUUGGGGGAAUUGGUGAUCCUCUGCCCAUCUUGACUUCUGAGAGACACUGCCACUCUGAGAGGCACUUUUUGUACUCAAUCAUGUUGUCAAUUGACCUAAUAAGUUGCAAAUUGGUCCUCCAGCUGUUCUUUAUAUGUACAUUUAACUUUUCCGGCCUCUUAUUGCUACCUGUCCCAACUUUUUUGGAAUGUGUAGCUCUCAUGAAAUCCAAAAUGAGCCAAUAUUUGGCAUGACAUUUCAAAAUGUCUCACUUUCAACAUUUGAUAUGUUAUCUGUAUUCUAUUAUGAAUAAAAUAUAAGUUUAUGAGAUUUGUAAAUUAUUCCAUUCCUUUUUUACUCACAAUUUGUACAGUGUCCCAACUUUUUUGGAAUCGGGUUUGUAUAUAGUUUAAAUUUCUGUGGUGGACACACAACAUUUUCUGGUGGUGAAGCACAUCCUUCCCUAUCUUUUGUGGACUCAAGGUCAUUUGCAGUCGUUUCCAUAAUCUAAUCCUUGCGAUUAGAAAGAAAUGAUUUAAAUGCCCAAUUGAAGAGUUUUAAGCACAAUGCCGCAGGUGGCUUUCUGUAUUUUCAUAUAACUCAUCUAAAAAUCUUUGAGUACUGAGCUUUGAUUUGCCUUCCCCUCAUAAGUCCAGAGGUUUAGUUGAGUCUUGAAUUCAUCAAUAGAGCUUAAAAUACAUGUUAACUAUUGUU
ensembl:lncRNA